GACGAACGCUGGCGGCGUGCUUAACACAUGCAAGUCGAACGGUGAAGCGCCUUCCUUUUUGGUGGGUGUGGAUGAGUGGCGAACGGGUGAGUAACACGUGAGUAACCUGCCCCCUUCUUCUGGAUAACCGCAUGAAAGUGUGGCUAAUACGGGAUAUUCUGGGUCUGUCGCAUGAUGGGUCUGGGAAAGAUAUUGUUUCGGUGGGGGAUGGGCUCGCGGCCUAUCAGCUUGUUGGUGGGGUGAUGGCCUACCAAGGCGGUGACGGGUAGCCGGCCUGAGAGGGUGGACGGUCACACUGGGACUGAGACACGGCGCAGACUCCGACGGGAGGCAGCAGUGGAGAAUAGUGCACAAGGGGCGGAAGCCUGAUGCAGCGACGCCGCGGGAGGGAUGGAGGCCGUCGGGUUGUGAACCUCUUUCGCCAGUGAAGCAGGCCUGCCUCGUUUGUGGGUGGGUUGACGGUAGCUGGAUAAGAAGCGCCGGCUAACUACGUG
rnacentral:rRNA from 1 species